GAGGGUAUAGCUCAGUGGUAGAGCAAAUGCUUAGUGCUCCUGGGUUCAAUUCCCAGGACCUCCA
rnacentral:tRNA from 1 species